rnacentral:ncRNA from 1 species
UCUAGGGGUGUCUGCACAAGCAGGCUGAGAUUAUACCCAUAUAACCUGAUCCGGAUAAUGCCGGCGUAGGGAAAUAGAUAUGC